rnacentral:lncRNA from 1 species
GUUAUGCGAUCUCCAGGAAUACUUUGGGAGGCACUAUUCCGUGAUUUCAAGUGUCACAAACAAAGUAAUGCUCCAUGUAGAAAGCAAGUUUGGCCUUCUCCUAGAUGAACUCACCGUUCAUCAGUGGUUGACGCACGAGAACUUGGAAGCAAUGAGCGAGGCGGUUCAUCGUAAAGGUGCGCCUUUGAAGAAUUGCUGGGCCUUCAUAAACGGAACGGUGCGACCCAUUUGCAGACCGUCACAAGAUCAGCGCAUUUAUUUUUCUGGGCACAAGCGGGUACAUGCCUUAAAGUACCAAUCGUUAAUGUGCCCAAACGGCUUGAUAUGCGAGCUGGAUGGCCCGUACCCCGGGAGCAGGCAUGAUGCUGGUACGUUAUCGAGUGUUCGUAUAUCUAUUAGUAAGUCAAGAUAUGAAUAUAUGUUUACGAUAUGGCAACCCUGUAAAGGUACUAACCAGAUAUUACAAAGAAUUAAGAACGCAGUUAAAGUGUGCAUUGAAAUUUAUAUUGAAGUUCAUAUCGACUUGUGAGCUUUACGGGAAUGGUUUCUGUAUUUUUAUUGGCCCUUAAGCACCACUAGCCAAACUUAUUUGUGUGUGGUCUAAUCGAAGCUCUUCUUUUGACUUAUGUUCCUCGUUAUGUAAAAGAAAAAAAUGUGUGCAACUCAUUUUACCUGUGCUUAACAUGUUUGCAUAGUCGUCUAAUAUGCACAAGGUAAGUUAAUCAGGUACCAGGGUGCAGUACCUAAAUGAAAUAAGUUUGCCUACAUGCAAUACUUUUUUUCUGGGACCUUUUGUUAGUACCAUAUGAUCCCAAUUAUGAAGUGCACAGACCGGUUUUCAGUUGCUUCUCUGGCACACAUCUUGUACUUGUGUUUCAUCGCAAUAAACUUGUUUAUUUCAA